rnacentral:rRNA from 1 species
GACGAACGCUGGCGACGUGCUUAACACAUGCAAGUCGAACGGUGAGGCCUUGCUUUUUUGGGGUGUUCGUGUCGAACACGUGUGUAAAACAUGUGUGUACUCUCUUUAUCACUUUGGGAAAACCUGAAGAAACUGGCGAUUACCCCGUACAGCCGAUCCCCCUGCGUGGUGUGGGUGGGAAACGUUCUGCGGUUGGUGUUGGUGUCGCGGCUGCUCAGCUUGUUGUUGGGGUAGUGGCUUACCAAGGCGUUGACGGGUAGCCGGCCUGAGAGGGUGACCGGCCACACUGGGACUGAGAUACGGCCCAGACUCCUACGGGAGGCAGCAGUGGGGAAUAUUGCACAAUGGGCGGAAGCCUGAUGCAGCAACGCCGCGUGAGGGAUGACGGCCUUCGGGUUGUAAACCGCUUUUGGCAGGGAAGAAGAGAGAUUGACGGUACCGGCAGAGAAAGCGCCGGCUAACUACGUG